ensembl:lncRNA
GGAAUACUAACAGGCGGUGGGGGGGGGGUCUGAUAUGCAAAAGCGUUGCCAGGUAGACUCAGUUUGAGAAGAAUGUUUCCUUGACUUCCCCCUACGUGUGUGUUUUCAUCCACGCUGAGCGAUUUGGUCCUGCAGCUCCAGUGGAAUGCACCUAUCUGUGUCCAUCAAGGGGAGUUCUGCUUUCCGUGCCACAAGCCGGCGGGCUGAACUUGUUCUCGAGGGUUCACAAUCCUCUGGUGGACCACUGGAUCCGUUUUAGUCAAAUGACUUCAGAUGCACGGAGCAGAGGAAGCCCAAACAACUGACUGACUUUAUGGUGUUUGGACUCCUGAAUGAAAACACACUUCAGGAAAUCCGUCACAGGCUUCUCGCUGAGAGAGCAGACCCCCUUCCCCCCCCUCCUGCUGCCCUCUCGCCUGGGACGCCGGGGUAAUUACAUCAUUUGGAGAGGAAUGAAGGAGGAGGAAUGAAAGCACUUUACAAGCGAAAGUACGCGAAAUGCUUUAUUGCUCAUGGAAUUGGCAAUUAAAAAGCAGCACCUGGAACGCACAGGCUCAGCUGAAAAGGGCCCUAUCCCACACCGUGGCACGCUUGGAACCAGUCACCCCCACCCCCUCACCCCCCUCCCACCACCGCGCCACAGAAGCCCCUGGAGAAUGUUUUUCUUUCCAGCUUUUUUAUUCUUUAUUUUGUGAAAAGUUGCUGACAAUGCACCUUCACGUUGGUUGACUUAGCCCAUAAGUCACCGGAGCCUGACGUGCUCUCCAACGUAUUAAUAAAGCCCAUUUCCUACGGAACAUAUGGCGAGGCUAGAACAUCAACCUGCUCGGGCCACGCUACCGAAAAAGAAAACAGUCAUGAAUCUCUCCAGCACCCAGUGUACGUGCCCCUCAUCCAACACACACACACACACACACA